ensembl:lncRNA
GAGGACUGGUUAGAGUCAUUACCCUGGGCCUCUGCUAAAUGAGAGGACUGGUUAGAGUCAUUACCCUGGGCCUCGGCUAAAUGAGAGGACUGGUUAGAGUCAUUACCCACCCCUGUCUCCCUGGGCCUCGGCUAAAUGAGAGGACUGGUUAGAGUCAUUACCCACCCCUGUCUCCCUGGGCCUCGGCUAAAUGAGAGGACUGGUUAGAGUCAUUACCCACCCCUGUCUCCCUGGGCCUCAGCUAAAUGAGAGGACUGGUUAGUGUCAUUACCCACCCCUGUCUCCCUGGGCCUCAGCUAAAUGAGAGGACUGGUUAGAGUCAUUACCCACCCCUGUCUCCCUGGGCCCCAGCUAAAUGAGAGGACUGGUUAGAGUCAUUACCCACCCCUGUCUCCCUGGGCCCCAGCUAAAUGAGAGGACUGGUUAGAGUCAUUACCCACCCCUGUCUCCCUGGGCCUCAGCUAAAUGAGAGGACUGGUUAGAGUCAUUACCCACCCCUGUCCCCCUGGGCCUAGGGUAAAUGAGAGGGCUGGUUAGUGUCAUUACCCACCCCUGUCUCCCUGGGCCUAGGGUAAAUGAGAGGGCUGGUUAGUGUCAUU